ACCAAAUCCGUUGACUCCGACCUUCACCUUCCCCAUGGUGUCUCAUGGAUGCGGCUGGCAAUGCAAGAGAAGAUGUGGUUGUCUGUCGAACAAGAGGAGCAGAGAGCCAGCUGACGCCUCAGUUUGCAGCGACACUAGAGGGUUCUGCAGUCUUCUACUUCAGUUUGGAAGGAAGAAAAGGGAGAUAAAUCUUUCAACUUUAAUGUGAAUUUCAAAGAUGCACCAGGCACAGUACAGUUGGAUCCUCCCGGGCAGCUAAAUCAUGUGUUCAGUACAGCAUGGUGGGCAAGAAGAUCUGGAAUGAGGAUCACCUUGUUUUCUUCCUGCAAAGUCAUGAAUAAUGUGAUAUUGAACAAUGCCCAUUCCUUUACUACUGUUCUCCCCAGAAACCCUCAUGCAACAGAGGAAGGAACGUGGAAGGGAGGAACACUGGCUGAGAAGUCAAGUGGAAUGGGUCCUAGUUCCAGUCUGCUAAUAACUCCCUGAGGAGUCUUUUCCCUCCUUGGGCCUCAGACUCUUCACCCCAGAAGGGAAUUGUUAAGGGGUCUCAGAAGUGAGACUCAGAGAACACACCUGCUGUGUCUUUGUGUGUGUGUGUGUGUGUGUGUGUAUGUGUGUGUGUAGGUAGAUAUGUGUUUAAGGAAAUUCUCCUGCUUGGAAGCCACAGCUGCUAAACCAGGGGGUUGCUCAAAUCUUCUUUUGACUGAAAGCAUAGUCUGAGGACCGGCAGUAAUAGCAUCACCUGGGAGCUUGUUAGAAAUGCAGAAUUUCAGGCCCUUUACAGAAGUAUUGAAUCAGAAUCCCCAAUUUAACAAGAUCCUUAAGGGGAUACCAAUGUGCAUUCAAGUCUGAGAUGCACUGCUCCAGAGGACCUGGGAUAAGACAAAUGUCAGCCUGAAAAAAGAAUGGGAUUUGAAGUCAGGAGACCUAGGUGUUAGCUUUAAUUCUGGAACUCACUGGCUGUCCAAAUUGAGCAAGUCAUGUAAUCACCCUGAUCCUUUUUUUGUAAAUGGGGUGCUCUAGUAACUACAGAAUGGUGUCAAGAUCAAUGGUGUAUGUUCUGGAGCCAAACUGGCUAACCUUAAAUCUUGAGUUCGUUUAUCAGCUAUGAAGCUUUUGGUGAGUUGCUUGAUAUCUGUGGGCUUCAGUCUCUUUAUCUGUAAGAUAGGGUAUCAUAAUAAUGACAGACAUUGAGAAUUUUAAAAUGGGCCAGGUGCGGUGGUUCAUGCCUGUAAUCCCAGCACUUUGGGAGACUGAGGCGGGCUGAUCACCUGAGGUCAGGAGUUCAAGACCAGCUGGCCAACAUGGCGAAACCCUGUCUCUACUAAAAAUACAAAAAUUAGCUGCGUAUGGUGGCACGCGCCUGUAAUCCCAGCGACUUGGGAGGCUGAGGCAGGACAAUCGCU
rnacentral:lncRNA from 1 species